GUCCCUGUAGCGCAAUGGAUAGCGCGCUGGACCUCUAAUCCAGAGGUUGUGGGUUUGAAUUCCACCUGGGAUG
rnacentral:tRNA from 1 species